rnacentral:rRNA from 1 species
UACGUAUGGUGCAAGCGUUAUCCGGAUUUACUGGGUGUAAAGGGAGCGUAGACGGCUGUGUAAGUCUGAAGUGAAAGCCCGGGGCUCAACCCCGGGACUGCUUUGGAAACUAUGCAGCUAGAGUGUCGGAGAGGUAAGUGGAAUUCCCAGUGUAGCGGUGAAAUGCGUAGAUAUUGGGAGGAACACCAGUGGCGAAGGCGGCUUACUGGACGAUCACUGACGUUGAGGCUCGAAAGCGUGGGGAGCAAACAGG